rnacentral:sRNA from 1 species
UAACUGUGAGACUUCAAUAAAUCUCGAA